rnacentral:rRNA from 1 species
UACGUAGGGUGCAAGCGUUAUCCGGAAUUAUUGGGCGUAAAGAGCUCGUAGGCGGUUUGUCGCGUCUGCUGUGAAAACUGGAGGCUCAACCUCCAGCCUGCAGUGGGUACGGGCAAACUAGAGUGCGGUAGGGGAGAGUGGAAUUCCUGGUGUAGCGGUGGAAUGCGCAGAUAUCAGGAGGAACACCGAUGGCGAAGGCAGAUCUCUGGGCCGUAACUGACGCUGAGGAGCGAAAGCAUGGGGAGCGAACAGG